CCUACGGGGGGCAGCAGUGGGGAAUAUUGGACAAUGGGCGAAAGCCUGAUCCAGCCAUGCCGCGUGUGUGAAGAAGGCCUUCGGGUUGUAAAGCACUUUCAGUGGGGAAGAAAGCCUUGGGGCUAAUACCCUCGAGGAAGGACAUCACCCACAGAAGAAGCACCGGCUAACUCCGUGCCAGCAGCCGCGGUAAUACGGAGGGUGCGAGCGUUAAUCGGAAUCACUGGGCGUAAAGCGCGCGUAGGCGGUCUGAUAAGCCGGUUGUGAAAGCCCCGGGCUCAACCUGGGAACGGCAUCCGGAACUGUCAGGCUAGAGUGCAGGAGAGGAAGGUAGAAUUCCCGGUGUAGCGGUGAAAUGCGUAGAGAUCGGGAGGAAUACCAGUGGCGAAGGCGGCCUUCUGGACUGACACUGACGCUGAGGUGCGAAAGCGUGGGUAGCAAACAGGAUUAGAUACCCUGGUAGUC
rnacentral:rRNA from 1 species